UACGGAAGGCAGCAGGUGGGGAAUAUUGUACAAUGGGCGCAAGCCUGAUGCAGCCAUGCCGCGUGUAUGAAGAAGGCCUUCGGGUUGUAAAGUACUUUCAGCGGGGAGGAAGGCGAUGCGGUUAAUAACCGCGUCGAUUGACGUUACCCGCAGAAGAAGCACCGGCUAACUCCGUGCCAGCAGCCGCGGUAAUACGGAGGGUGCAAGCGUUAAUCGGAAUUACUGGGCGUAAAGCGCACGCAGGCGGUCUGUUAAGUCAGAUGUGAAAUCCCCGGGCUUAACCUGGGAACUGCAUUUUGAAACUGGCAGGCUUGAGUCUUGUAGAGGGGGUAGAAUUCCAGGUGUAGCGGUGAAAUGCGUAGAGAUCUGGAGGAAUACCGGUGGCGAAGGCGGCCCCUGGGACAAAGACUGACGCUCAGGUGCGAAAGCGUGGGGAGCAAACAGGAUUAGAUACC
rnacentral:rRNA from 1 species